CGGUUGAUCCUGCCGGAGGUUACUGCUAUCGGAGUUCGAUUAAGCCAUGCGAGUCUAAAGGUUUCUUCGGAAGCCUUGGCGGACUGCUCAGUAACACGUGGAUAACCUACCCUUGGGACUGGAAUAACCCCGGGAAACUGGGGAUAAUACCGGAUAGAUCAGGGAUGCUGGAAUGCACCUUGAUCCAAAGCUCCGGCGCCCAAGGAUGGGUCUGCGGCCUAUCAGGUUGUAGUGGGUGUAACGUACCUACUAGCCGACGACGGGUACGGGUUGUGAGAGCAAGAGCCCGGAGAUGGAUUCUGAGACACGAAUCCAGGCCCUACGGGGUGCAGCAGGCGCGAAACCUUUACAAUGUGCGAAAGCAUGAUAAGGGAACUCCGAGUGCCAGUAUCUAAUACUGGCUGUCCUUGUGCCUAAACCGCACAAGAUAGCAAGGGCCGGGUAAGACCGGUGCCAGCCGCCGCGGUAACACCGGCGGCCCGAGUGGUAGCCGCUAUUAUUGGGUCUAAAGGGUCCGUAGCCGGUUCGAUAAGUCCUCUGGGAAAUCUGGUUGCUUAACAAUCAGACUGCCAAGGGAUACUGUUGAACUUGAGACCGGGAGAGGUAAGAGGUACUUCAGGGGUAGGAGUGAAAUCUUGUAAUCCCUGGGGGACCAUCUGUGGCGAANGCGUCUUACCAGAACGGGUCUGACGGUGAGGGACGAAAGCUGGGGGCGCAAACCGGAUUAGAUACCCGGGUAGUCCCAGCCGUAAACGAUGCUCGCUAUGUGUCNNGUACGGUGUGACCGUAUCUGGUGCCGUNGGGAAGCCGUGAAGCGAGCCACCUGGGAAGUACGGUCGCAAGACUGAAACUUAAAGGAAUUGGCGGGGGAGCAC
rnacentral:rRNA from 1 species